UUUUUAGUGUAAAUAUAUCUCAAGCAAUUUUUGGAAUAUACUUAUACUCAAA
rnacentral:miRNA from 1 species